rnacentral:rRNA from 1 species
GUGUGCCUUGGCAGUCGACUAGAGUUUGAUCCUGGCUCAGAGUGAACGCUGGCGGCGUGCCUAAUACAUGCAAGUCGAACGGAAUUUAAAAGAGCUUGCUCUUUUAAAUUUAGUGGCGCACGGGUGAGUAAUAUAUAGCUAAUCUGCCCCUUGCUGGAGGACAACAGUUAGAAAUGACUGCUAAUACUCCAUACUCCUUUUUACCAUAAGAUAAAUCGGGAAAGAAUUUCGGCAAGGGAUGAGACUAUAUCGUAUCAGCUAGUCGGUGGGGUAACGGCCUACCGAGGCUAUGACGCGUAACUGGUCUGAGAGGAUGAUCAGUCACAUUGGAACUGAGACACGGUCCAAACUCCUACGGGAGGCAGCAGUAGGGAAUAUUGCGCAAUGGGGGAAACCCUGACGCAGCAACGCCGCGUGGAGGAUGACACUUUUCGGAGCGUAAACUCCUUUUGUUAGGGAAGAAUAAUGACGGUACCUAACGAAUAAGCACCGGCUAACUCC